AACGAACGCUGGCGGCAUGCCUAACACAUGCAAGUCGAACGAGACCUUCGGGUCUAGUGGCGCACGGGUGCGUAACGCGUGGGAACCUGCCCUUAGGUUCGGAAUAACUCCCCGAAAGGGGUGCUAAUACCGGAUAAUGUCUUCGGACCAAAGAUUUAUCGCCUUUGGAUGGGCCCGCGUUGGAUUAGCUAGUUGGUAGGGUAAAAGCCUACCAAGGCGACGAUCCAUAGCUGGUCUGUGAGGAUGAUCAGCCACACUGGGACUGAGACACGGCCCAGACUCGUACGGGAGGCAGCAGUGGGGAAUAUUGGACAAUGGGCGAAAGCCUGAUACAGCAAUGCCGCGUGAGUGAUGAAGGCCUUAGGGUUGUAAAGCUCUUUUACCCGGGAUGAUAAUGACAGUACCGGGAGAAUAAGCUCCGGCUAACUCCGUG
rnacentral:rRNA from 1 species